AGUGUAACUGAUGGAAGGUAUGUUGAGUAUGUGUGAUUUUGUAAGAAACUACUGAAGUCUUUUCCAAAGUGACUGUACUAUUCUGCAUUUCCCCCAGCAGU
rnacentral:pre_miRNA from 1 species